rnacentral:rRNA from 1 species
CAGUAGCCGCGGUAAAACGGAGGGUGCAAGCGUUAAUCGGAAUUACUGGGCGUAAAGCGUGCGUAGGCGGUUCGUUAAGUCUGUUGUGAAAGCCCCGGGCUCAACCUGGGAAUGGCAAUGGAUACUGGCGAGCUAGAGUGUGUCAGAGGAUGGUGGAAUUCCCGGUGUAGCGGUGAAAUGCGUAGAGAUCGGGAGGAACAUCAGUGGCGAAGGCGGCCAUCUGGGACAACACUGACGCUGAGGCACGAAAGCGUGGGGAGCAAACAGGAUUAGAUACCCCCGUAGUCCCUGUCUCUUAUAC